GUCCCGCCUGCCCAGUGACUCUGUUCAACGGCCGCGGUAUCCUAACCGUGCGAAGGUAGCGUAAUCACUUGUUCUUUAAAUAAGGACUAGUAUGAAUGGCACCACGAGGGUUAUACUGUCUCCCCCUUUUAAUCAGUGAAACUAAUCUCCCCGUGAAGAAGCGUGGAUAGCACUAUAAGACGAGAAGACCCUAUGGAGCUUUAAACUAAUUUCCCAACAACCUCACUUCCUUUUCAAGCUUAUGCUUUUAAUAAUCAGCCUGGUUCCAUGGGAAUAAGUUUUAGGUUGGGGUGACCACGGAGUAAAAAAUAACCUCCGAGCUGUAAGGGACGCUCCCCUGAACAACAAGCUACAACUUUAUGUACCAACAUAUUGACACCUAUUGACCCAAUAUUUUGAUCAACGAACCAAGUUACCCUAGGGAUAACAGCGCAAUCCGCUUCAAGAGCUCCUAUCGACAAGCGGGUUUACGACCUCGAUGUUGGAUCAGGGUAUCCCAGUGGUGCAGCCGCUACUAAAGGUU
rnacentral:rRNA from 1 species